rnacentral:rRNA from 1 species
GUGAACGCUGGCGGUAGGCCUAACACAUGCAAGUCGAACGGCAGCACAGUAAGAGCUUGCUCUUACGGGUGGCGAGUGGCGGACGGGUGAGGAAUACAUCGGAAUCUACUUUUUCGUGGGGGAUAACGUAGGGAAACUUACGCUAAUACCGCAUACGACCUACGGGUGAAAGCAGGGGAUCUUCGGACCUUGCGCGAUUGAAUGAGCCGAUGUCGGAUUAGCUAGUUGGCGGGGUAAAGGCCCACCAAGGCGACGAUCCGUAGCUGGUCUGAGAGGAUGAUCGGCCACACUGGAACUGAGACACGGUCCAGACUCCGACGGGAGGCAGCAGUGGGGAAUAUUGGACAAUGGGCGCAAGCCUGAUCCAGCCAUACCGCGUGGGUGAAGAAGGCCUUCGGGUUGUAAAGCCCUUUUGUUGGGAAAGAAAAGCAGCAGGUUAAUACCCCGCUGUUCUGACGGUACCCAAAGAAUAAGCACCGGCUAACUUCGUG